rnacentral:rRNA from 1 species
GGUGGAUAUUCAAGUCGGUCGUUAAAUUUCAGAGCUCAACUCUGAAGCCGUGAUCGAAACUGUCUAUCUAGAGUCUGGAAGAGGCAAGCGGAAUUGCUGGUGUAGCAGUAAAAUGCGUUAAUAUCAGCAGGAACACCAAAAGCGAAGGCAGCUUGCUAGGACAGUACUGACACUGAGGUACGAAGGCGUGGGGAGCGAAGCGGAUUAGAUACCCGCGUAGUCCACGCUGUAAACAUUGGACACUAGGCAUUGGAAGUAUCGACCCUUUCAGUGCCGCUACGAUUUAGUUAACGCGUUAAGUGUCCCGCCUGUGAAGUACGGCCGCAAGGCUAAAACACAAAGGAAUAGACGGGGACCCGCACAAGUGGUGGAGCAUGUGGUUUAAUUCGACAAUAAGCGAAGAACCUUACCAAGGUUUGACAUCUAGCUGCACGCCCUAGGAAACUAGGGUUCCUCCGAGGGUGCUAGGCAGGUGCUGCAUGGCUGCCGUCAGCUCGUGCUGUGAAGUGUACCGUUAAGUCGGGUAACGAGCGCAACCCCUGUCCUAAGUUACAUUGUCUUAGGAGACUGCCUCGUAAAACGAGGAGGAAGGUGGGGACGACGUCAAGUCAGCAUGGUCCUUACACCUUGGGCUACACACGUGCUACAAUGGGUAGUAACAAUGGGUAGCUAAGUCGUGAGACGGAGCUAAUCCCACUCAAACCUACCCCAAGUUCGGAUUGAAGGCUGCAAUUCGCCUUCAUGAAGUCGGAAUCACUAGUAA